CUUGCCUUUGGCGUUCAUGAAGAGGGAGCAUGGCACAUUUCUGCCAAUGGCCCUGAGGCCUUUCUAUCAUGGAGCCCAUGAGGCUCUUGUUGAGGGGUUGCGACAGUUAAAACAAAAAGAAUUGUGACUUCUUGACUCAACUCCCUUGGCUGAGAUCUGGGACAGACCUAGCAGUUCAUUUUGCUUGACAGCAAGUUUAUUCAGUCUUGCAGCCUCAGUGCAUUUUCCAUUAAGCUUCUCAGCAAACCAUUUCUACACCAUUGGCCAUUACUUGUGUGCUCCUGAUGGCAGCACAACGGAACCAUGGGUAUCUAGUGCACAAAUCCAGCCCACUUAUUAAGUACCUGCUCUGCAUCAGACAGUGUGUUCAUGUCCUGAAAGCAUUAAUCAUAUGCAAUCCUCCUCCCUCAUGGACGUUUAUUUCAAUCUGGGGUCCACAGGAACCUCUUUGGAGCAACUGAUGCCUGCACUGAGCCUAAUGGCAGAAGGAAAAGUUAGCCAUGUGGACAAACCUAAGGAAGCCUCUCCUAGGGAAACCUAGGCAGGAGAUGAGCCUUGUCUCUUCAGGAAAAGGUAGGCAGGUUGAUGUGAGCAGAGUGUGAGUCAUGGGUGGGAAUAUUAUUUCUGUAAAGGGCCAGAUGGUGAAUUUUUCUGGCUUUGUGGCCCUACAAUACUCAGCUCUGUUGCUAUAGGAUGAAAGCACCAUAUAUGAUUGGAUGCAGCUGUGUUCUCAUAAACUUUAACUUCUAACCUAGGUGUCUGGAGAUGUCUGGCCAAGGGGCCCUAGUUUGCUGGGCAGGGCAGAGCGAGUGCAGUGACUGGGAUGGUCAAGGGCCUGCUUUGGUGGGACUCCUUUACCAGGUCAGGCCACUGGGAUUUGGAGAAAUGAGAAAUAGUUAAGGCCUGAACUGUCCACAGGAAGCCAAAGGACAGAUGGUCUUAGUACCUGUUGCUAAAACUUAGAAAGGAAAACCUAUGCCAAGAAAAGGCGCUGGCAAUUUUCUCUCUCCUCACAGAAUGUCCACACUUCCUCUAAGGCCUUGCCUGCUGGAUUGACACAGCAAGAGCUUCCAACCUGGCCCAGGCUCUUUCCUGUGUGACUGUAGGCCCCAGGAUCUCUUUCCAGCCUACCCUACAACCAUCAGGCCUCUGGAGAUACCAACCUGAUGAGGUGUUUGAUUAAGUUUGUUCAAAAGCAGGGGAAGGAGAAUAGGGACUCCUGAUAGCACCAAAGAUCCCAACAGAAUACAAGUAUUUUCUUUCACUCCCCUAGUGAUCUGUGAAAUUAUAAGCAUUUAUACAAAUAUGUUUUUCAUUACAUUACCAUUUCCUGUCUCCAUUUGCAGACUCCCACUCUAACCAGAUUUGCUAUGAACCCAACUGAAAAUAAUAUGGUUUAUUCCUCCCAUCAUGUGGCAGUUCGGCUGGCUCCCUGUCAUGCAUUCAAAAUGUACCCUAAGUGAAAUAGUAUCCAUAUUCUCUUGUGGUUCCAGGUAAGAAAGGAAGUACAUGGUUGCCAAGAGUCAGAGAAGUACCACCUGCUUAGACCCAACUAAGCAAGGAAGAAGUAAGGGAGUUCUUUGAGGGAUUAAGUUCUCUUUCUAAAACAAAGACACCUACAGUCAGAGCCAGGGGAAAGGGGAAACUAACACUCUCCUCUAAGUCUUACUUCAUUUUGUCUCAUUCCCUGUAACUGUGGACUAGGCUUCAAAAGUUAUGUUGGCACAAUUAACUUUUCUUACAUUUUUGCUUUUACAGAUUAAAAGUUAUUAAAUUUGUGAGUCAGCAUCAUGAAAAUUGGGAUAAUAUGAAAAGGUUAUUGGCACGCAGUUUCCACAGUAUUAUUAGAAGUCAACACUGAGUCAUAGCCUCCCAGAUAUGAAGAAAGCAGGCACGGGGACCCCUGGAAGCUUUUAGAGCAGGGGAGGAGCACUGGUCACAGCCAUGGUUAAGGAAGAGGAGUCUGACAGUGGUUGGAGGCAGCUGGUUGGAGGUGGUUGGCAGGCAGGCUGGAAAUUGCAUUCAUAAUGAAGAGUGACCUGAAGUCGAAUAAAAGGUUGAUGAUUCAAGGUCAGUGUUCCUGAUGGGUCAUGGACAGGGAGGGAGAAGGACUUAUUCUUCCUUGUUAGGAAGUAGCUCUGGUGUCACCACUGAGUUCCAGAAAACGUACCUUUGCUUCAGACCAGAAUACAGAAGACCAGAUCUCUUCAAUGAACCUGGCCCUGUAGAUGCUCGGGCACGUGGCAGAGCGAGCCUGAUCUGGGAGUGGAUGGGCCACUCUGGACCACACAGAGCUUGGCAACAGCAUGUGCUUAAUGAGUCUUUACUAGGUGAGCAGUUCUGAUUAAAAACAAAGUGUGUUUGACAGAAGACAGUGAAGAAUCCCACAGGGGCCUUCAUCUGCCUUGUCCAGAACCUAAUCAGCCAGAUAGGAUCCAUGAAAACUGAAUCUCUGUCAAAGCAGGAUGAUGGACUGAAGGCGCUUGGGCCUGGCCCCUCAGAGUCUGGCCUUCCAACCUACUACUUCUCUGCAGAGAAGCUGAUUGGAUUACACUGGUCACCAGGCCACUGGGCUGCAGGACACACGAACAGCUGGAUAGGGUAGGGAUAGAAGAGGAAUGAGACAUUCACAUCUUACUAUAAAAUCUUGUAACUAGACUACACAUAGAUUUUAAGAACCGGGGUCCCUUCCAGUCUGUGUUCAUUUGGUCUACUAGCCAGACUGUUGUGCCUGAAUUAAACAGUCUUCUGAGAUAUUUUACAGAACUGACUAAAUAGUUGACUGUUCUGUCUCUUCAGCUCACGCUAUUAAAAAGCACCAGCACUGUAACUUCCUCAAAGUCUGUAGGAAGAUUUACAGCUCCUGGCAUCCCAGUCCCACAUUUUGAAUAAUAAUCUCUUUAAACCAUGUUACCACCACCAUCCAAUACAUUUAUGUGGAGCAAGUAAAAUUCCCCUGUUACAGAGCUUUAUAACCUCUGAUACGUUGGCCCAUAGCCUAAAAAGGGAAUAUAGGUAUCAGUCUUGACAAAAUCAUGAAAGGAAAAUACAUGAGAUAAAGGGAAUGAAAAGAUGUUUGUGAUGUGGGUAUAUAAUUACAGUCAGUGAACCCUCUGUGCUCAGGGGAUGGAGUAAAGAGAUUGGGUCAUUGGAUCUCAGACUCCAGAGCAAAAGCCAAGAGACCAGGUGGGCCAGGAGAGCUAAGGUCUGCUCUGCAAAGCCUGUGCUCUCGAACCCUAGGUGGGCUGGGAGCAGCAGCCACCUCUGUUUCUCAGCCUUCCCCCACCCCCACCGCCUCUCCACUGAAAAGAGUCUGUCAGCAGAGCAAGUUUUCCUCCUCAGCACUCUCCCU
ensembl:lncRNA